GGCAAGUCGAACGCUUUGUGGUUCAACUGAUUUGAAGAGCUUGCUCAGAUAUGACGAUGGACAUUGCAAAGAGUGGCGAACGGGUGAGUAACACGUGGGAAACCUACCUCUUAGCAGGGGAUAACAUUUGGAAACAGAUGCUAAUACCGUAUAACAAUGACAACCGCAUGGUUGUUAUUUAAAAGAUGGUUCUGCUAUCACUAAGAGAUGGUCCCGCGGUGCAUUAGCUAGUUGGUAAGGUAAUGGCUUACCAAGGCGAUGAUGCAUAGCCGAGUUGAGAGACUGAUCGGCCACAAUGGGACUGAGACACGGCCCAUACUCCUACGGGAGGCAGCAGUAGGGAAUCUUCCACAAUGGGCGAAAGCCUGAUGGAGCAACGCCGCGUGUGUGAUGAAGGGUUUCGGCUCGUAAAACACUGUUGUAAGAGAAGAAUGACAUUGAGAGUAACUGUUCAAUGUGUGACGGUAUCUUACCAGAAAGGAACGGCUAAAUACGUGCCAGCAGCCGCGGUAAUACGUAUGUUCCAAGCGUUAUCCGGAUUUAUUGGGCGUAAAGCGAGCGCAGACGGUUAUUUAAGUCUGAAGUGAAAGCCCUCAGCUCAACUGAGGAAUUGCUUUGGAAACUGGAUGACUUGAGUGCAGUAGAGGAAAGUGGAACUCCAUGUGUAGCGGUGAAAUGCGUAGAUAUAUGGAAGAACACCAGUGGCGAAGGCGGCUUUCUGGACUGUAACUGACGUUGAGGCUCGAAAGUGUGGGUAGCAAACAGGAUUAGAUACCCUGGUAGUCCACACCGUAAACGAUGAGUGCUAGGUGUUUGAGGGUUUCCGCCCUUAAGUGCCGCAGCUAACGCAUUAAGCACUCCGCCUGGGGAGUACGACCGCAAGGUUGAAACUCAAAGGAAUUGACGGGGACCCGCACAAGCGGUGGAGCAUGUGGUUUAAUUUCGAAGCAACGCGAAGAACCUUACCAGGUCUUGACAUCCCUUGACAACUCCAGAGAUGGAGCGUUCCCUUUCGGGGACAGGUGACAGGUGUGCAUGGUUGUCGUCAGCUCGUGUCGUGAGAUGUUGGGGUUAAGUCCCGCACGAGCGCACCCCUUAUUACUAGUUGCCAGCAUUCAGUUGGGCACUCUAGUGAGACUGCCGGUGACAAACCGGAGGAAGGUGGGGAUGACGUCAAAUCAUCAUGCCCCUUAUGACCUGGGCUACACACGUGCUACAAUGGCGUAUACAACGAGUUGCCAACCCGCGAGGGUGAGCUAAUCUCUUAAAGUACGUCUCAGUUCGGAUUGUAGGCUGCAACUCGCCUACAUGAAGUCGGAAUCGCUAGUAAUCGCGGAUCAGCACGCCGCGGUGAAUACGUUCCCGGGUCUUGUACACACCGCCCGUCACACCAUGAGAGUUUGUAACACCCAAAGCCGGUGGGGUAACCUUCGGGA
rnacentral:rRNA from 1 species